rnacentral:misc_RNA from 1 species
ACAAACAAUGACCUGCUAUUGGUGAAGCUUGUAUCACCAGGAAGACACUCGUGUCAAUUCUCUUGAUGUACUUAAGUAAAAAAGGCCUUCAAAGGUACGAGGAGGAAGUGAUCUGUGUACAUUAAUUCCUGCAGAGUGCGGUAGAUGAAGCACCCUACUAACUGAUGCCAGCAAGUACCUGCAGCUGAUGGUUUACCUGUAGUUGAUGGCUCACCUAUGCUCGGGUCAGGAUGUGGGGAAGCACACCUGAGAUGUACACUUCACUUCCUGGUCCAGGAUGUACUCUGUUCCCGAGGAUUGGGAGUGUACAGGAAACCAUAGAAAUCCCUGUGAUUUGUUUCUUGUCCAUCAAAAAAGGAGAAUUGGUGUUCUUAUCCAAGCCCCCUAAAGAGUGACGUUCAUUAAUGCAUUGUAUUACAAGACAGGUAUCUUGGAGGAAAUAAAACGAUGGCCUCAUUUUUCCGAUCACCUGACGGAUGCAGCAUUCAUCGUGAGGAGAAAUACAUUGCGGUUUGUAACAGCUGUGAGAAGAGCGUGUGCAUGCUGUGUAUGAUCCUACACCAGGGACACAGUUUCACAGACAACGGCCAGGCCUUGGGGGUGUACAAAGGCAAGCUCCUGGUCAGCCUGAGUGUGGCAGAGCAGAGCCUGACCGCCAUACAGCAGGAGCUUGCAACAACUCUCACAGCAGGAGCAAAUCUGUUACCUAAAGGCUGACGGCCUGCUGAUCACCAUACAGAACAGAGGCAGAGAGCUGAGAGAAGAACUGGACCGACUGAUUCAUGAAAUGACAAAGACCAUCAAGGACUCUAAGAAAGCCAACAUGGACAAGAUUCACACCGCCCACCACACGGUCAAGCGGCGUCACUCCCAGCUCAACAGCCUGAUCAAACAGGCCAAGGCUGAGAUCAACAGAAACAACAUCCAUAACGUGCUCAGUCUGUACAACAACAUCAACGACGCCAUCGACGGCUACAACACAAACAGCCAGGACACCCAAAUUGACUUCCAGUACUACAAGUUCAUAGCUGGCGAACUCCGUAAGGAAAACUUGGAGGAAAUGUUUGGGAAACUGGAAGCAGAGGUGAAAAAAUCAAACCAGGAAAAUCCUUAUGAGUAUGUAGAACCAGCUAGAACCUGUAGCCUGAAGCAGGACCAUGCAGAUACAGAAAUCAUGUGUCAGUUCAAAGCGUGCGAAAAAGGCAUUGCAAGCAUAUGUCCAUUCAAGGAAGAUCGGGCGUUUUUGCGAGACAAUACAGGAAAAGAUAUAAAACUCAUCAAAGAGUCAGGAAAAGUUUUACGAUCCCUCACAACAAACACCAAAAAGAGCGACGUCGCAAUCACGUCAGAAGGUGUAGUACUCAUCUCUUGUCCGGAGUUAUUCUGUGUUAAAACGUUCUCCUCUGAUGGAACAAUCCGCAAGCUUAUUCUGACUGAGGAUUUACAUCCAUACGGAAUAGGUGUUCAUUUUGACACAGACUCCAUCGUUGUGGCAUUGGUCGAUUCCUGGGAUUACAAUGUGAAUUCAGACAGCAAAAGAUUUCUCAGGAAAUAUUCCAAGAAGGGGAGACAAUUCAGACCAUUGAAAGCGUCAACAAAACAUUGACAAACGGCAACAAACCCCUGAUUGUGUCCCCUUAUAAAGUUCGACUCAGUCAAUACACUGGGGACAUCGGUGUGGUGAACUGGACAGGGCCAAACCAAGGAAAUGUUCUCGUGUUUGGUACUUACGGCACCCUGAAAUAUACCUACCCUCACAAAACCGAUGUAACCUUUGAACCUCAUGACAUCACAUUUGACUCACAGAAUCAGUCGGUUGUAGCUGACGCAGUCAGUCAACUCUUGCAUUUACUCAGCGCUGAGGGAGACCUCUUGCGAACUAUUUAUCAGUGUGACAACACCCCUUGGUCCCUGGGGUACUUUGGGCGGGGCAAACUAUGGGUGGGCCAGAGUGAUGGGACAGUGAGUGCCAUUAGAUACAAGUUCAGUACAGACAAAAGAUAGCAGGAGUCAGUAAGGAAUUCAACGGAUCCAAUAUUUUCACCUUCAAUGAGAAUAUUUUAAAAGAAUCAAUAAAUGAAUGUUAUACUU